GGGCGUGAGAGUAACUGCUCACGUCGCGACGGUAUCUAACCAGAAAGUCACGGCUAACUACGUGCCAGCAGCCGCGGUAAUACGUAGGUGGCAAGCGUUGUCCGGAUUUAUUGGGCGUAAAGCGAGCGCAGGCGGUCUUCUAAGUCUGAUGUGAAAGCCUUCGGCUUAACCGGAGAAGUGCAUCGGAAACUGGGAAACUUGAGUGCAGAAGAGGACAGUGGAACUCCAUGUGUAGCGGUGAAAUGCGUAGAUAUAUGGAGGAACACCAGUGGCGAAGGCGGCUGUCUAGUCUGUAACUGACGCUGAGGCUCGAAAGCAUGGGUAGCAAACAGGAUUAGAUACCCUGGUAGUCCAUGCCGUAAACGAUGAGUGCUAGGUGUUGGAGGGUUUCCGCCCUUCAGUGCCGCAGCUAACGCAUUAAGCACUCCGCCUGGGGAGUACGACCGCAAGGUUGAAACUCAAAGGAAUUGACGGGGACCCGCACAAGCGGUGGAGCAUGUGGUUUAAUUCGAUGCUACGCGAAGAACCUUACCAGGUCUUGACAUCUUCUGUUAACCUAAGAGAUUAGGUGUCCCCUUCGGGGGCAGAAUGACAGGUGGUGCAUGGUUGUCGUCAGCUCGUGUCGUGAGAUGUUGGGUUAAGUCCCGCAACGAGCGCAACCCUUGUCAUUAGUUGCCAGCAUUAAGUUGGGCACUCUAGUGAGACUGCCGGUGACAAACCGGAGGAAGGUGGGGAUGACGUCAAAUCAUCAUGCCCCUUAUGACCUGGGCUACACACGUGCUACAAUGGACGGUACAACGAGUUGCGAAACCGCGAGGUCAAGCUAAUCUCUUAAAGCCGUUCUCAGUUCGGAUUGCAGGCUGCAACUCGCCUGCAUGAAGUUGGAAUCGCUAGUAAUCGUGGAUCAGCAUGCCACGGUGAAUACGUUCCCGGGUCUUGUACACACCGCCCGUCACACCAUGA
rnacentral:rRNA from 1 species